rnacentral:rRNA from 1 species
AGAGUUUGAUCAUGGCUCAGGACGAACGCUGGCGGCGUGCCUAAUACAUGCAAGUCGAACGAACUCUGGUAUUGAUUGGUGCUUGCAUCAUGAUUUACAUUUGAGUGAGUGGCGAACUGGUGAGUAACACGUGGGAAACCUGCCCAGAAGCGGGGGAUAACACCUGGAAACAGAUGCUAAUACCGCAUAACAACUUGGACCGCAUGGUCCGAGUUUGAAAGAUGGCUUCGGCUAUCACUUUUGGAUGGUCCCGCGGCGUAUUAGCUAGAUGGUGGGGUAACGGCUCACCAUGGCAAUGAUACGUAGCCGACCUGGGAGGGUAAUCGGCCACAUUGGGACUGAGACACGGCCCAAACUCCUACGGGAGGCAGCAGUAGGGAAUCUUCCACAAUGGACGAAAGUCUGAUGGAGCAACGCCGCGUGAGUGAAGAAGGGUUUCGGCUCGUAAAACUCUGUUGUUAAAGAAGAACAUAUCUGAGAGUAACUGUUCAGGUAUUGACGGUAUUUAACCAGAAAGCCACGGCUAACUACGUGCCAGCAGCCGCGGUAAUACGUAGGUGGCAAGCGUUGUCCGGAUUUAUUGGGCGUAAAGCGAGCGCAGGCGGUUUUUUAAGUCUGAUGUGAAAGCCUUCGGCUCAACCGAAGAAGUGCAUCGGAAACUGGGAAACUUGAGUGCAGAAGAGGACAGUGGAACUCCAUGUGUAGCGGUGAAAUGCGUAGAUAUAUGGAAGAACACCAGUGGCGAAGGCGGCUGUCUGGUCUGUAACUGACGCUGAGGCUCGAAAGUAUGGGUAGCAAACAGGAUUAGAUACCCUGGUAGUCCAUACCGUAAACGAUGAAUGCUAAGUGUUGGAGGGUUUCCGCCCUUCAGUGCUGCAGCUAACGCAUUAAGCAUUCCGCCUGGGGAGUACGGCCGCAAGGCUGAAACUCAAAGGAAUUGACGGGGGCCCGCACAAGCGGUGGAGCAUGUGGUUUAUUCGAAGCUACGCGAAGAACCUUACCAGGUCUUGACAUACUAUGCAAAUCUAAGAGAUUAGACGUUCCCUUCGGGGACAUGGAUACAGGUGGUGCAUGGUUGUCGUCAGCUCGUGUCGUGAGAUGUUGGGUUAAGUCCCGCAACGAGCGCAACCCUUAUUAUCAGUUGCCAGCAUUAAGUUGGGCACUCUGGUGAGACUGCCGGUGACAAACCGGAGGAAGGUGGGGAUGACGUCAAAUCAUCAUGCCCCUUAUGACCUGGGCUACACACGUGCUACAAUGGAUGGUACAACGAGUUGCGAACUCGCGAGAGUAAGCUAAUCUCUUAAAGCCAUUCUCAGUUCGGAUUGUAGGCUGCAACUCGCCUACAUGAAGUCGGAAUCGCUAGUAAUCGCGGAUCAGCAUGCCGCGGUGAAUACGUUCCCGGGCCUUGUACACACCGCCCGUCACACCAUGAGAGUUUGUAACACCCAAAGUCGGUGGGGUAACCUUUUAGGAACCAGCCGCCUAAGGUGGGACAGAUGAUUAGGGUGAAGUCGUAACAAGGUAACC